AGGCGGCCGUAAAGCGCGACUGUCGUAAAAGGUGCCGUAAAGCGCGACUGUAGUAAAGACGGCCGUAAAGCGCAACUGUCGUAAAAGGUGUUGUAAAGCGCGACUGUCGUAAAAGGUGACGCGAAGCGCGACUGUCCGAAUUGUUCUGAAGAGCCGAAGAGCCGAGUGUGGCCGAAAACAGCCGAGUUUCACCGAAGUGCCGAGUGUGGCCGAAAACAGCCGAGUUUCACUGAAGAGCUGUCUGUGGCCGAAAACAGCCGAGUUUCACCGAAGAGCUGACUGUGGCUGAAAACAGCCGAGUUUCACCGAAGUGCCGAGUGUGGCCGGAAAUAGCGGAGUUUACACCAAGAGCCGGUGAUAGCCAAUGGAGCAUCAGUGAAGUGAGGAGGACUGAGGAGCUCUCCCCUUUAGCAAACACAACAGUCAUGUCAACCAGUGUCACCCUUUUCCAGACCACUGGCAUGUGCUUGGGGACAGUAACCUGUGUUUUUUACAGCCAGGUCUUCUGAGCCGCUGCUCACAGUGAAAAGAAACUUGUGUACAGGCACUCUGCAAACUUGCCACCUCAGAUGCCACUGAAGCACAGCUUUGGCUUUCAGGCAUCUGCCCUGCAAGCUGUCCCUUGUGGCGUUUCUGCACUGGAUUCAUUGUAAAUUCAUUCCUCCCAUUUUUUAUUUGUAAUUUCCACAGAAUAUCAGUUGACUUUUACGGCCUCUUCAGGGUUCCCCAAGCUUCACACCACACCUAAAUGCUCGUUUUCACUGCCUGAAGGGCUUUUCUGACCCGAAUGAUUCUAUGAAUUUGGCCUGUACUUCAGCUUAAGGGGAAAGCUGUACAUUGAUUGCAUUUUGGAGAAAAAGAUUUGACUGUCCAGCUGUAAAUUUAUCUUGUGCUUUGUCUUCCAGGUUCGCUCGUAUUGUAAUUUGCAAAUGGCACGGCAAAUGCCACGAGAGCAGCUGGUGAAGGUGGCUCACAAGCAAUGACAAGAAUGUGCUGCAAAGUUGGGUCCAGCAGUCCAGCUUCCCGACACGACAGCCAAUUCUGAAGCACUGAGCAGAGAGCUGCCCGGGAGGCAGAGCAGAGCCGAUCUCUGAGAGCUGACACCGGAGCUCUGGUGAGGACAGCUGCUCCCCUGCCUCGGUGUGGGACCUGCUGAGCUGCCGUUCCUGUGGUGGGAGUGUUUCUCCUCUCAUCCAGGCAAGCCAAAGACCUCCUAGGGAAGGAGCAGACUCAUCAUGGCGGGACAGCGUGAGGACUGAAAGUGUAAGAAGAUGUGGAGGGAAACAGAGAAUCUGACAGGAGCAGCGAACGCACGAGUGCACAAAUUUUUCUUUUUGCUUGGAUGUAAACUCAGGAGUUGAAAGGAAUUUGGGAGUGAGAAGGGACAUUUUAGAAGGAGAAGAAGAAAAAGAAGUUGUUGUUGUUGUUACAGUCCUGGCAAAAGCUUUUGUUCUAGCUAAUAAAAGAAGUUAGUUUAAAAAACAAAAAGAAAAAAAUGUAGUGUUUUUUUUUUCCUUCACUAUUAUAUUCAUUGGUGGUAUAUGGUGUGUUGUUUUAUUUCCUUGUAUUAUUAACUCUGUGUAAAUUGUUUUUUGAGUGAAGCUGACUUUCUGGAUGGGUUGGUUUGUAUUUGGCAAGUGAUUUACUCAAUGGAGAGAGGCUGAACUGAAAUGCUAAAGAUACAUUUCAGAUAGUAAUUUUUAAGUGAGGUUCUGGAUACAGGAGUUCUUGUGUAAGGACUGGAAAAAGGAAAUUUUUAAAGUAGCCUGCAUUUCCAUUUGCCAUCGAAAACAUGCAGCACUACACUGACAGCUCUAUGCAGGAGGGGCAAAAUAGCUUUGACAAAUCUGUGUUUAGAGCUCUGCUCCCCUGAGCAGGCAGUCUUAUUUAUGGGUGGCUCUACAGUUAUUGAAAAUAGACAUUAAGAAAAAUUAUUUCUAUCAGUUGUUAAUUAUUUUAUAUAUUUCUUAUGAACAAUGACAUUAAACCUAGCUAUUAUAUUGUUUACUGGCAAGAUUUAAAUAGAGUUCCUGCAUAAUUUUUGGAUUCCAACUGUUGAAAAUGUUCUG